rnacentral:rRNA from 1 species
UACGUAGGGUGCGAGCGUUGUCCGGAAUUAUUGGGCGUAAAGGGCUCGUAGGCGGUUUGUCGCGUCGGGAGUGAAAACUCAGGGCUUAACCCUGAGCCUGCUUCCGAUACGGGCAGACUAGAGGUAUGCAGGGGAGAAUGGAAUUCCUGGUGUAGCGGUGAAAUGCGCAGAUAUCAGGAGGAACACCGGUGGCGAAGGCGGUUCUCUGGGCAUUACCUGACGCUGAGGAGCGAAAGUGUGGGGAGCGAAACAGG